AGUCUGCAACUCGACUGCACGAAGCUGGAAUCGCUAGUAAUCGCGGAUCAGCACGCCGCGGUGAAUACGUUCCCGGGCCUUGUACACACCGCCCGUCACACCAUGAGAGUCUGUAACACCCAAAGCCGGUGGGAUAACCUUUAUAGGAGUCAGCCGUCUAAGGUAGGACAGAUGAUUAGGGUGAAGUCGUAACAAGGUAAC
rnacentral:rRNA from 1 species